rnacentral:misc_RNA from 1 species
GCACACUCAGCUCUAACAUUUUCACAGUAGAUGCUUCCUUUUUAUAAGUAGAGGAAUGCCUUUUGCUAGCCAACAAAGCCCAUACUUGCACCAUGCUUAGGAAUGGCUAUGUUACUUUUCUUGUACACAAACUAAAAAUCUCAUCAACUUCCAACAAUCUCCUACUUUCAAAAACUGGGAUGCCUUGUGCACCGAGGACGCCCUUUUGCUUAUGAAGCUUCUUAACAAGCUCUGUGCUGCUAGUUGGAAUUGUUUACUUUGAAAGUUUAGUAUCUGUUUUAUAUUUUUGCUUGAAUGUUCUGUAUCUGUUUCAAUUCUCUUUAGGCACAAGAAAUUAUGCAAGUUUUUGAUUUGAGGUAGAGAAGUGCAGAUUUUGUGUUUGUUAGAUUUGUGUGAUUGGCUCUUGAUUUUCCUCCUCUUCAAGUUCAAGUUGAUCCCUCGAUCGUUAUGUCUUUUUUUGGUGUUUGAGAAGUCUAGCACCUCCAUGGUUUUACAUAAAAUCCUGCUUUUCAAAUUAGGAUGUUUCUUGUCCUGAGAAAUUUAUAGCAUAGCUUUCAACAGAUGCUGCUGCUGCUUCUUUCUUCUUCUUCUUCCUUUU